rnacentral:rRNA from 1 species
AAACUUAAAUGAAGUUGACGGGGCCCGCACAAGCGGUGGAGCAUGUGGUUUAAUUCGACGCAACGCGAAGAACCUUACCUGGAUUUGACAUCCUCUGACAGUUCCGGAAACGGAAUUUUCCGACUUGUCGGAACAGAGUGACAGGUGCUGCAUGGCUGUCGUCAGCUCGUGUCGUGAGAUGUUGGGUUAAGUCCCGCAACGAGCGCAACCCUUGUCAUUAGUUGCUACAUUCAGUUGGGCACUCUAAUGAGACUGCCGGUGACAAACCGGAGGAAGGUGGGGAUGACGUCAAGUCCUCAUGGCCCUUAUAGGUGGGGCUACACACGUCAUACAAUGGAUGGUACAAAGGGUCGCCAACCCGCGAGGGGGAGCCAAUCCCAUAAAGCCAUUCGUAGUCCGGAUCGCAGUCUGCAACUCGACUGCGUGAAGUCGGAAUCGCUAGUAAUCGUGGAUCAGAAUGUCACGGUGAAUACGUUCCCGGGUCUU